GCAGCCGCCGCGGUAAUACGUAGGGUGCAAGCGUUAAUCGGAAUUACUGGGCGUAAAGCGUGCGCAGGCGGUUAUAUAAGACAGAUGUGAAAUCCCCGGGCUCAACCUGGGAACUGCAUUUGUGACUGUAUAGCUAGAGUACGGCAGAGGGGGAUGGAAUUCCGCGUGUAGCAGUGAAAUGCGUAGAUAUGCGGAGGAACACCGAUGGCGAAGGCAAUCCCCUGGGCCUGUACUGACGCUCAUGCACGAAAGCGUGGGGAGCAAACAGGAUUAGAUACCCCUGUAGUCCCUGUCUCUUAUAC
rnacentral:rRNA from 1 species